GGCAGUGUCGUGUAGUGGUUUAAGUGUUGGACUAUGAAUCUGGAGACCAGGGUUCGAUUCCCAGCUUGGCCA